AGUGAACGCUGGCGGUAGGCCUAACACAUGCAAGUCGAACGGCAGCACAGUAAGAGCUUGCUCUUACGGGUGGCGAGUGGCGGACGGGUGAGGAAUACAUCGGAAUCUACUUUUUCGUGGGGGAUAACGUAGGGAAACUUACGCUAAUACCGCAUACGACCUACGGGUGAAAGCAGGGGAUCUUCGGACCUUGCGCGAUUGAAUGAGCCGAUGUCGGAUUAGCUAGUUGGCGGGGUAAAGGCCCACCAAGGCGACGAUCCGUAGCUGGUCUGAGAGGAUGAUCAGCCACACUGGAACUGAGACACGGUCCAGACUCCUACGGGAGGCAGCAGUGGGGAAUAUUGGACAAAGGGCGCAAGCCUGAUCCAGCCAUACCGCGUGGGUGAAGGAGGCCUUCGGGUUGUAAAGCCCCUUUGUUGGGAAAGAAAAGCAGCAGGUUAAUACCCCGCUGUUCUGACGGUACCCAAAGAAUAAGCACCGGCUAACUUCGUG
rnacentral:rRNA from 1 species